UACGUAUGGAGCAAGCGUUAUCCGGAUUUACUGGGCGUAAAGGGAGCGUAGACGGUUAAGUAAGUCUGAAGUGAAAGGCGGGGGCCCAACCCCUGGACUGCUUUGGAAACUGUAUGGCUGGAGUGCAGGAGAGGUAAGUGGAAUUCCUAGUGUAGCGGUGAAAUGCGUAGAUAUUAGGAAGAACACCAGUGGCGAAGGCGACUUACUGGACUGUAACUGACGCUGAGGCAUGAGAGCAUGGGGAGCAAACAGG
rnacentral:rRNA from 1 species